ACGUAGGGUGCGAGCGUUGUCCGGAAUUACUGGGCGUAAAGCGUGCGCAGGCGGCUGCUCAAGUCAGGGGUGAAGGCCCAGAGCUCAACUCUGGAAUUGCCUUUGAGACUGAGUGGCUUGAGUACGGGAGAGGUGAGUGGAAUUCCCAGUGUAGAGGUGAAAUUCGUAGAUAUUGGGAAGAACACCGGUGGCGAAGGCGGCUCACUGGCCCGUAACUGACGCUCAUGCACGACAGCGUGGGGAUCAAACAGGA
rnacentral:rRNA from 1 species